rnacentral:rRNA from 1 species
GCACUUGAAGAGGGGCCCGCGCCUGAUUAGCUAGUUGGUGGGGUAAUGGCUCACCAAGGCAACGAUCAGUAUCCGGCCUGAGAGGGCGGACGGACACACUGGGACUGAGACACGGCCCAG